rnacentral:lncRNA from 1 species
AUGAGGUAUUUCUGACUCACUAUUCGAUAUGGGACUACAAUCCCUCCUCCAACAAUAGUAUCAAUAUAGAAUCAAUAACUUUAUGCACUGCACUUCUUGGCACCCUUUAUAUUGAAUUAUGAUGUGGAAGGCUCCAUUUAGAACCAAAACAAUUUCUAUGGUUCAAACGAGAAUAAGAAAAAUACCCAUCCAUUCCAAUGAUUGGUAAUAGCAUUUGCCUUGACGUCACAAAUAUCUCACCAAC